GUAGUCCACCCGGAAACGAAACCCAUUCUGACUAGGUAUUUCGCCAGAUCUCAACGAUCUCAGAUCGAUCUACGGAUCAGAAGGUUGGGAGUUCGAGUCUCUCCGGGUGCGCCA
rnacentral:tRNA from 1 species